rnacentral:rRNA from 1 species
UGGGGAAUUUUGGACAAUGGGCGAAAGCCUGAUCCAGCAAUGCCGCGUGUGUGAAGAAGGCCUUCGGGUUGUAAAGCACUUUUGUCCGGAAAGAAAUCCUUGGCUCUAAUACAGUCGGGGGAUGACGGUACCGGAAGAAUAAGCACCGGCUAACUACGUGCCAGCAGCCGCGGUAAUACGUAGGGUGCAAGCGUUAAUCGGAAUUACUGGGCGUAAAGCGUGCGCAGGCGGUUUGCUAAGACCGAUGUGAAAUCCCCGGGCUCAACCUGGGAACUGCAUUGGUGACUGGCAGGCUAGAGUAUGGCAGAGGGGGGUAGAAUUCCACGUGUAGCAGUGAAAUGCGUAGAGAUGUGGAGGAAUACCGAUGGCGAAGGCAGCCCCCUGGGCCAAGUACUGACGCUCAUGCACGAAAGCGUGGGGAGCAAACAGGAUUAGAUACCCUGGUAGUCCACGCCCUAAACGAUGUCAACUAGUUGUCGGGGAUUCAUUUCCUUAGUAACGUAGCUAACGCGUGAAGGUUGACCGCCUGGGGAGUACGGUCGCAAGAUUAAAACUUAAAUGAAUUGAC